GCGUGUUUGGCCCAGCGGUAUUGGGAGGGGCAUCGCCGGUGCCGCCGUAAAUCGAAGUGGCCCCGGGUUCGAUUCCCGGGGUCAGCG